rnacentral:lncRNA from 1 species
UUUUUUUUUUUUUUUUUUUUUUUUAAGAUUUAAUAAAAUCCUCCUAUGUCAGGUCUACUGGUGAUUAAACUCCCUCAAUAAUUGUUUGUCUGGGAAAGUCUUUAUUUUUCCUUCAUUUCUAAAGGACAGCUUUAUUAGAAAAAGCAUUCUUGGUUGACUGUGUUUUUCUUUCAGCACUUUGAAUAUAGCAUCCAAUUCUGUUCUGGCUUGUAAGUAAGGUUUCUGCUGAGUAAUCCAUUGAUAAUCUAGCUGGGAUUCCUUUGUAUGUGAUGUGUCACUUUCUUCUUGCUACUUUCAAAACUCUGUCUUUGAUUUUUGAUGAUUUGAUUAUAAUGUGUUUAUGAAGUCUUCUUUGGGUUGACUCUGGUGCCAUUUGACUUCAUUUCCUUGGGUCUAUAUCUCCAACCACUAUUUCGGUUUUCUCGCUUUAUUUAAGUAUAGAUGUGUUAAUUAGCUUGAUUGAGGUAAUCAUUUCAUAACGUAUGUAUCAUCACAUUAAAUAGGUGCAAAUUUUAUUUGCCAAUUAUGUCAUAAUAAAGCUAGGAAAAGAGAAGCUGUCACAAAAAUAGAAGUAUAUUAUUUUGCUAUUUUUAAAAAAAUAUUUUAUUUAUUUAUUCAUGAGAGACACAGAGAGAGAGAGAAGCAGAAAACAUAGGCAGAGGGAGAAGCAGGCUCUCUGCAGGGAGCCCAACGUGGAACUCGAUCCCAGAUCCUGGGAUCAUGCCCUGAGCCAAAGGCAGAUGCUCAACUGCUGAGCCACCCAGGCUGUCCAAUUUUGCUAUUUUUAACGCAAUUAAUAGAACUGGAAGCAAUUUUUGUAAUGCAAUAUUCUGUUUCCAUGACAAUUAUCAUCAAGGGAACAGAAUCUCAGAUGGGAGCUUCUCUGAUUCUUAUUUAAAAAUUGUGUAACUUAAUUGUUCAUUUUUCCUACUAUCUUUCUAAUUUAUCAAAAAGUUUUAAAAUAAUAUCACUGACUGAUGUUUGUUAGUUUGAGAUGUCUUGGUUAUGUUUGGGUCCCACGUUUUAUCAAGGAUGUCCCAGUUAAGUGAUAAAAAGCAGCAAAUCUCACUGAGCUCCAUCACAUACGAAUGUAGUGAUGUCAUCCAAAAAGAUUUUAAAAAAACAAACCAACCUCUCUACUGUAGUUCACUCAGCCAAGGAGAUCCCCAAGGAGCCAAGGGAGAGAUGUGAGAGGGGUGACCUCUUCCAGAGCAAUGGCGCCCAGCAUGGCACUGAGGAGAGGGGAGGCCACCCCUUCCUGCAGUGGGAUGUGCCAGAGGACUCAGGUGUGGUUCCACUAUGUCUCAAGGAGGUCCCAGUAGUUGUGCUGAGCUCAUGGGCUGCUAUUUCCAGGACCCAAAGUAUAAUGUGUAACCAGAUGGAAGGUCACAUGCUCAGGGCCUGGGAGAACCUCUACUUUCAGGAAAGCCCAGUACCUAGUGCUGCGCAGUAGUGUCAAGGCUCCUGGGGGUACCCAGUAAAGGUGAAUCGUGUCCCCCAAGGUGAAGGCAACUGUGCUGUGAGGCUGUGGAGACAGGCACUGAACAGAACAGACCCCACCAAAUCUAUGAUGGCAGGAUAUUUACCAGGUGCCGACUGGGUUGUCAGUAAUUCCAGUAAUCUUGGGGACUGGGAAGAGGGGCUUGUUUGGUGUGACCACAACCUCGUAAUUGUGGCAAUCCACUCUGAGGUGUCAUCCAUUCUUUCCAGGUUUAAGAACAGGCUGACCUUGGCUGUUAAAAGGAGAAGCUCUGGUGAUAAUCACUUCUUCCUAAUAGGUAUGGUACAAUAGUUUUCAAUCGUGGAAAGCCAGGUUUCAUUUAACUGGGUCUGAUUAUAGUAAUUUAGCUGGGGGGGGGGGGGGUGCUGGGGAAGGUUGGGGUAUUUUCAAGAAAUUUUGGAAGUGCCAAAGAUUUCAUUUAAAAUUUUAAUUCACGAUUCAUUGGU